rnacentral:rRNA from 1 species
CUCCUUUGACGUUAGCGGCGGACGGGUGAGUAACACGUGGGUAACCUACCUAUAAGACUGGGAUAACUUCGGGAAACCGGAGCUAAUACCGGAUAAUAUUUCGAACCGCAUGGUUCGAUAGUGAAAGGUGGUUUUGCUAUCACUUAUAGAUGGACCCGCGCCGUAUUAGCUAGUUGGUAAGGUAACGGCUUACCAAGGCGACGAUACGUAGCCGACCUGAGAGGGUGAUCGGCCACACUGGAAUGAGACACGGUCCAGACUCCUACGGGAGGCAGAGGC